rnacentral:lncRNA from 1 species
GUUAGUAUCUACAUAGAGAUGAUCUGAUCGGAGUACCGAGACCAUCGAAGUACUAGCACCUUACAGGCCUCACUCCUUUUGCUUGGAUCUGGAUCCUCUUCUUCAACAUCUUGAAGAACGGGGUUGCAGCGGGAUCUCAUCGUGUUGAUCUGAUGGAAUCUUCACUGGGACACUUGAAAGAGAAAAGAAACUCUUUUCUUCUCUUCCUC